CCCUGAACUUGGGGUCUGGAG
rnacentral:miRNA from 1 species